UACGUAGGGCGCAAGCGUUAUCCGGAAUUAUUGGGCGUAAAGAGCUCGUAGGCGGUCUGUCGCGUCGGCUGUGAAAACUCGGGGCUCAACCCCGAGCCUGCAGUCGAUACGGGCAGACUAGAGUGCUGUAGGGGAGACUGGAAUUCCUGGUGUAGCGGUGAAAUGCGCAGAUAUCAGGAGGAACACCGGUGGCGGAGGCGGGUCUCUGGGCAGUAACUGACGCUGAGGAGCGAAGGCGUGGGGAGCGAACAGG
rnacentral:rRNA from 1 species